UCCAAAUAAAUAAAUAAAAUAAAAUAUAUCAGUAAACAGACUACUUGUCAUCACCUGCACUACCAUUCUCUUCCAGGCCACCAUCAUCUCUCACCUGUAUUAGAGCAAUAACUUCUUAACUGCUUUUUUCAUGCUCCCUUUCAGUAUGUUCUUACCAUCAUAGUGAGAGUGAGACUUUUUUAAAAAUGUAAGUUCUAUCACUUUUUAAAAUUUAUUUAUUUAUUUAUUUGAGAAGGAAUCUUGUUCUGUUGCCCAGACUGGAGUAUAGUGGCAAGAUCGUGGCUCAUGGCAACCUCGAACUCCUAGGCUCAAACGAUCCUCCCACUGUGGCCUCAAAAGUAGCUGGGACUGCAGGAAUGUGUCACCACACACAGCUAGUAGUUUUUAAAUUGUUAAUAGAGACAGAAUCUCCCUACAUUGCCCAGACUGGUCUUUAACUCCUGGCCUCAAGUGAUCCUCCUGCUUCGGCCACCCAGGUGUUGGGAUUACAGGUGUGAGCCACUGUGUCCAGUGUCAUGUCGCCUUUCUACUCAAACAUUCAGUGUCUUCCCAAUCCCGUCACAGUUAAAAAAUCAGUCUGUAGGGCUGGGUGUGGUGGCUCACGUCUGUAAUCCCAGCACUUUGGGAGUCUGAGGCGGGUGGAUCACAAGGUCAAGAGUUGGAGACCUUCCUGGCCAACAUGGUGAAACCCCAUCUCUACUAAGCAUACAAAAAUUAGCCGGGCAUGGUGGCACAUGCCUGUAAUCCCAGCUACUCAGGAGGCUGAGGCAGGAGAAUUGCUUGAACCCAGGAGGCAGAGGUUGCAGUGAGCCGAGAUUGUGCCACUGCACUCCAGCCUGGGCGACAGAGCAAGACUCUGUCUCGGGGC
rnacentral:lncRNA from 1 species